rnacentral:rRNA from 1 species
GACGAACGCUGGCGGCGUGCCUAAUACAUGCAAGUCGAGCGGACCAAAGGGAGCUUGCUCCUGGAGGUCAGCGGCGAACGGGUGAGUAACACGUGGGCAACCUGCCUGUAAGACUGGGAUAACAUCGAGAAAUCGGUGCUAAUACCGGAUAAUAAAAAGAACUGCAUGGUUCUUUUUUGAAAGAUGGUUUCGGCUAUCACUUACAGAUGGGCCCGCGGCGCAUUAGCUAGUUGGUGAGGUAACGGCUCACCAAGGCAACGAUGCGUAGCCGACCUGAGAGGGUGAUCGGCCACACUGGGACUGAGACACGGCCCAGACUCCUACGGGAGGCAGCAGUAGGGAAUCUUCCGCAAUGGACGAAAGUCUGACGGAGCAACGCCGCGUGAGUGAUGAAGGUUUUCGGAUCGUAAAACUCUGUUGUUAGGGAAGAACAAGUGCCGUUCGAAAGGGCGGCACCUUGACGGUACCUAACGAGAAAGCCACGGCUAACUACGUGCCAGCAGCCCGGUAA